UUCACACGUUAUUACAUUGAAAAUAAGAAUACACAAGCUCGCAAUUCUUUUUUAACCUGAAUUUCGGAUAUAUUCAAAUCGCCAAUAAUGAAAAUUGCUAUGGAAACUGAAAAUGUUGCCAGAACAAAAAAUUUCUUAUUUAUGUGUAUUCUUUCCUAUUUUUAUAAAGAUCUUGUCCAGAAGAUGAGGAUCGAUGAUAACUCAUUAAUUAUAUGAUCUCAAGCCGAAAAUAACACAAAAUAUAAUAUAAAUUUGUAGUGUGAAUUGAUGGAGUGAAAAUAGAAAAAUAUUUGAUGUGGAAGUAUAAAAUGCAUUGCGAAACUCAGCCGAAAAUGGAGAGCAUUGUAAAAAUUUAAUAAAUGUCCCAAUAUUGACUGACAGAAGCAUAACUUCCGACUACAUCUAAUCCUGUGGAUUAAUACUUCGAGAUAUUAUGCGGAAAAGCUAAGUUAUGUACCAAGCUUGUAUAUAUCUGUGCUCAGUGGUCUGUUUCCGCCUUAAAAUUCAUGCGUUCCUCAGUAAUUUUCACAUGCUUUUGGUUUGGGACAUGGUACUAUAAAGUGGUAUCGUCAUUAGCAAAACAACAAAAAUCCACCCCCAGCGAAACUACCAUGAGUCGCAAGUACCGUAAAUUAAAAUGGCAAAAUGGUAUUUGUAUUUGCAUCAUUAUAACACUGUUUUGUUGCCUAUGUGUGGAAUAUCGGACCAAAUAAAACAUCUUCUAAGAUUUUAGAAAAAAUCUCAGCUGUGUUAUCAAGCCUUUGACAUUUAGAUUUACUGCAAAAUCAAAAGAAAAAUAAAAAAGUGAACUCAGCUGUUCGCAUUACCUCAACUUAUAA